GUGGGGAAUUUUGGACAAUGGGCGCAAGCCUGAUCCAGCCAUGCCGCGUGAGUGAAGAAGGCCUUCGGGUUGUAAAGCUCUUUCGGCCGGGAAGAAAUCGCAUUCUCUAAUAUAGGAUGUGGAUGACGGUACCGGACUAAGAAGCACCGGCUAACUACGUGCCAGCAGCCGCGGUAAUACGUAGGGUGCGAGCGUUAAUCGGAAUUACUGGGCGUAAAGCGUGCGCAGGCGGUUUUGUAAGACAGAUGUGAAAUCCCCGGGCUUAACCUGGGAACUGCGUUUGUGACUGCAAGGCUAGAGUACGGCAGAGGGGGGUGGAAUUCCUGGUGUAGCAGUGAAAUGCGUAGAUAUCAGGAGGAACACCGAUGGCGAAGGCAGCCCCCUGGGCCUGUACUGACGCUCAUGCACGAAAGCGUGGGGAGCAAACAGGAUUAGAAACCCUAGUAGUCC
rnacentral:rRNA from 1 species